CAGCCGCCGCGGGAAAACGUAGGUGGCAAGCGUUGUCCGGAAUUAUUGGGCGUAAAGGGCUCACAGGCGGUUUCUUAAGUCUGAUGUGAAAGCCCCCGGCUCAACCGGGGAGGGUCAUUGGAAACUGGGAAACUUGAGUGCAGAAGAGGAGAGUGGAAUUCCACGUGUAGCGGUGAAAUGCGUAGAGAUGUGGAGGAACACCAGUGGCGAAGGCGACUCUCUGGUCUGUAACUGACGCUGAGGAGCGAAAGCGUGGGGAGCGAACAGGAUUAGAUACCCGAGUAGUCCCUGUCUCUUAUAU
rnacentral:rRNA from 1 species